rnacentral:lncRNA from 1 species
CAAUCAGCUUCUAAAAACAGGCAAAAUUUUAUCAACUAUUAAAUGCAAAUAUUAAAAUUUAUUCAUUCACAUUAAAAUAAGAAUAAUUACUUCUAUUAUAUCCCUCAGCAUAGCUUAGAAAAUAAUUUACUAAAAUGACAUCAAAGAAUCUCAUUAAAUGUAUGUGAUAUUAAAAUUUAAAAUAUUAAUAUAUAGUUUGAUCCAUAUUAUGAAUCAAAAUUUUGUCUGCAAUUGACACCCCUUUUAAAUUUUUGCUAAAUUGGUAUUACCCAUCUAGGCUUUUCUUUUAGAGGAAAGAAAGGAAGUGUGCUGCUGCUCAUUACACCAUGAAAUACAUAAACACAGUCCCAGGACCAUCCCACCUUUUAAAUAAAAAUCCACACUGAAGGUUUUAUUCCUCUUAAAUACUGUUUAGUGUCCUUCACAACUUUCCCGGGAGAUCAGGAAGAGUGAGUUCAGUGCUAUACUUUGGAUGUGAAACAGUGAGACAAUUUGAGCCAACAUAUUGGUUAGAAGGCAAUGCAAAAUGCCCACUGAGAUCUUGGAGCAGAGCUUGUCUAAUCGGUGUUUGUGUUUAGAUUUGAUAGAAGGAUCACAGGAGCAUCUGUAUCAUAAGGGACCUGAGCCAAUCUAUUUUGGAGAAACAUUCUGAGGGAAAGGUAAUUCAUUCUGCCAGUGAAACAGUGACUGUGGGGUCACUGGAGUGAAUUGUUUUCCAAGUACUAUGAUCAUAGUUCCGAAACUGUUUCUCUCACCUGAAUCCACUACAAGAUUGAACCCUGUGAGAACAUAAGGCACGAUAGCUGAUUCUAAUCUGAAAUCAGACCAAGGAUUCCGGGGGGAAAUCUGAAUUGUAAGAAGGAAUGUGUGAGAGUCACAGGCUGCCAAAAGUCAGCUUUCACAGACAGAUGAAAUUCUGAAAUCUAAUAAUCAUUAGAGUAGUGUUCUUUAUGGAAAAUGAGUAAUUCACAGCACUAAAAUUUAAAUGAUAGAAAAAUAUCUAUAGGGAGGAUCAAAUCAUAACUAAACUACACAGUGAAGGAAAGGCUUUCUGCUGAAAGCACUAUGGAAGGGUAAAUAUCUUCUCUAAGAAAGGGCUAAAGCCCACUGCUUUGAAAGUUCUUAUGCUCCCUGGAAGCCUAAGAGCUUUCUCCUUCAUAACUAACCCAAGCUUGUUUUAAGCCUGGCAGCCAAAGGGUCCCUAUGUUGGAUGACCCUUCUAUGCCCUCUACUGAAUCUUGUGUGGUCCCCAAACAGGCCAGCACACAUCUGACAGUGGUCGGGGCCAAUUUCCCAUUCACAUGUGUGUUCUCAGGCCUGAGAGCAGGGUUGGGUGUGCUCUGACAUAGUCAUGUCCUCUAGACCGCCUCCCCCUACUCUUGUCUAAAUGCAUAAGUCGAGUCACUGAAGGGCCAUCGCUGGCCUCUCCUGACAUUCUCCCCUCCAGAUGACCGGGUGAGUCAGGAAGGUGUUUCCUCGGGAAGCUGGGGGCCCAAGCCAGCCAGUUUCAGCCAUCGUUACUGAGUAAGAACAUGCUGUGCUCAGCCUGUUGGCUCCACUCUUGAGCACAAAGUAUGUGUUACAACAACAAGCACAAGAAUACUGACCACACGCUUCCCUAUCUCUAGAUCUGUAAUGAGAACAUUUGAAGUAAAUACAUACAAUCAAGAAACAGUUCUGUAAGGCAGAAAUUGAACAGAGUUUCUGAUUUGUAGCCCUGAGACACAGCUUCUUGUACUCUGUGAAUCCAGACCCCACAGGUUAUGGAAGAAAAGCAACAGACAGAAGAUGGGAAAAACAGGUCACGUUUAUAAGACCAGCUUGAAGACCAUGCCACACUGAGGAGUUUGGUUUUUCGUUAGGCAAAGAAACUAGCUGUUUUUUCUUCAAUGUUCAUCGGAAAACUUGCCCAGCAGCUGUGAGUGACUCUUCAGCUUUCGAAUCAUUGUCUUGGAAUCUUCUAAACCAGGUGAUAAACUCUAAAGCAUCCAUUCUUAACCACAGAAGAGCAGCCCCUGGUAUGAAGCUGGAUCCUCUACAUCACGGCAAACACUUCAGUUUGGACAGUGCAAGGCCAGCAGUCCUGGUAAUAUGGAAACCCUGGGCACUGGAUUUGAUAAAGAACAAGAAGAGCUGUGAUAUCUGUGCCCAGCUCCUGUACUUUGGUGCCAACAAAGGUCUGAAUCCUUGCCUUUAAGAGUAUCAAAUCAGGUCUGGCACAGAGAAAGAAGUUAUUCUUCAUUUUGACAGAUUCUAAGACAGUAAUGUUAACAGAUGUGGGAAAAGUAUGUGUUGGCCCCAGAGUGGCCAGCAUAGAAAAUAAAACAGAGAAAUUUAUCACUCGAUCAGUACCAUCUAAAAGAGAAAGUAGAUCUAUGGAACAUAGGAAUAGGGUAAAAUUAUUUCAUUAGGUUUUAAAUCCAGCCCGUGGGUUAUUUCCACAAACCAUUCUGCUUUAUUGGCUCUGUUCACCGAGGAAUUUUAGUUUAUCAUUUUCCUUGAUACUAGGAAAUUGCAGACACUAAUAUGACUUAAGAAGACAGAUUAGAAAAAUCAAUGCAAUCAAAUAAGCCUCCUUCCCCUAAAUUGUCUCUGCCUCUCUUUCUCUCUCUCUGUCUCUUUCUCCCUCCCUCUCUCUCUCUCUCUCUCUCACGCGCGCACACACACACACACACACACACACACAGAGUCAAUUCUGUUUCCAGCAGAUUAGAAUACUGAGAAAUCCCCAUGACUUUCCCCAGCAACCCCUCCAUCUCCCUUUUGAUAAGGCAAGAGAGGUAAUAUUUACUGAAUGCCAAUUAUAUGCCAGAUAGGGCACAGAUUUUUUGUAAACAUAAUUUUAGUUAAUUCUCAAAUGAUUAUGAAGCAGGUAUUAUUAUUUCAACUUUAUAAGUAAAGAAACUGACUCAGAAAAGACAAGUAAUUUGCCCAAGACUGUCAGUUUCUAAAUGACAGAACUGUGAAUCAAUUCCAGCUCUCUUUGGCUCCAAUACGUGGCUCUUUCCAUUAUUCAUUCUGCCUAAAUUCCUCCAGCAGAGCUUCUUCCCUUUAGUUUUUAUCCCUGUUUUAAUGUAUUAUCCAUAUGCCUCAGGGGAAGGUAACUAAGCUCUCACCAGCUGUUAUGCUUCCUUUUAGAAGAAAGAAGAGGCAAGAAGGAGGAGUGCAGACAAGGCACAGAGGAGAAGCCUCUGAGAGGGACAAAGCAGAAGAGAGAGACUGGGGCUAUGGAACACAAUGUUUUCAAUGCAGCGUCUGGUACCAUGGCAUCUGCAGACCUCAGCCAAUCUAAUGUGAGUGGGAAAGGCCAUGUGAGAGCAGCUGGGACCUAGAGGCAGUAUGGUUUAAGAAAUAUAGGAGCAGCAUUUGAAAGCAAGGAAAUAUUUACUGAAUACUGGUGAGAAGCCAAUGGAAGAGAACAAGAAUAUCUAAGAGAAGCAGUUGUUAUUAGUUGAAAGGUUUAAGACCUACCAGACAACAGAGAAUGCACACACCCUGCGAGAGCCUCACCUUGUGACAUUUGUUCUUUACCUUUUUAUUUUGCCUUUUAGCAUGGCAUGCUGAGCACCUCUGAGUUUUCAGGGAAGGAGCUGACAGAAACAGGAACAGAAUAGCUGGGAGCUCCAAGAUUCACAUUCCUUGCAGGAGCUGGUGUGAGUUUUUGAGGCUGCUGAGUAACAGGAACCGCAGUCUUUGUUGCCUGGAUGUAUCCUGGCAACCUGUCAACAAAAGGGACGGGACUGAGUUCUCUAGUAACUGAUGGGAAACAGAGCAAAGUAGGUAUGGAUUUCAGCUUUCUUUUAAAUUGACUCCAGGAACUUUACCGAUGGACUGAGCAACCAACAGGGACAGAUAAAUUUAAGUCACAGGCUCUUCUUGAUGUAGAAACACAGCGUUUUAUUUUAAAGAAGAAAAGAAAACAAUAUUUACUGAUUAUCUUAUUGAUCUUUUCUAGGGACUUUAAAAAAUACUGUAACGGUUAAUAUUGAGUGUCAACUUGAUUGGAUUGAAGGAUGCAAAGUAUUGUUCCUGGGUGUGUCUGUGAGGGUGUUGCCAAAGGAGAUUAACAUUCCAGUCAGUGGACUGGGAAAGGCAGACCCACCCUCAAUCUGGGUGGGCACCAUCUAAUCAGCUGCCAGUGUGGCCAGAAUAAAGCAGGAAAAUGUGGAAGGACUUGACUUGCUGAGUCUUCUGGUCUUCAGCUUUCUCCCAUGCUGGAUGCUUCCUGCCUUAGAGCAUUGGACUCCAGGUCUUCAGCUUUUGGACUCUCGGACUUACACCAGUGGUUUGCCAGGGGCUCUCAGGCCUUUGGACACAGACUGAAGGCUGCACUGUCGGCUUCCCUACUUUUGAGGUUUUGGGCUUCCCUACUCCUCAGCUUGCAGAUGGCCUAUUGUGGAACUUUACCCUGUGAUCAUGCCCUCAGCUUGGACUGGAACUACACCCCCAGCUCUCCUGGGUCUCCAGCUUGCAGAGGAAAGAUUGCAGGACUUCUCAGCCUCCAUAAAUGCGUAAGCUAAUUCCUUACAAAAAAUCUCUCUCUCUCUCUUUCUCUCUCUCUCUACACACACACACACACACACACACACACACACACACACACACACACACGUAUCCUCCUAUUGGUUCUGUUUCUUUGGAGAUCUUGACUAAUACAAGCACCUUUCAAUCAGAUUGGAGGCUGCCUAAUGCUGGAAGUGGGCCACCCAUCUCUACUGUGCUAAAUUUCAACCUUUUAGUUGCCUGAUCAUGGAGAGGUCUAGGUGGCCUGGGUAGCAGAAACACAGUCAAAGCUCAGAACAGCAGUUAUUUGUCCUCAUGUAUCUUAAUAUUUUAGCAAGUACAACUCUCUGUGUGUGACAACAAACUACAGAAUUCUCUUAUAAUUCUAAGGCAUUGUGUGUGUGUGUGUGUGUGUGUACACAAAUGCAUAUGCACACUAACGUAACUCCCAGAAAUGAUUUCCACUGACAAGUCAUAAAGAGUUGUAAAAAAAAAUAUGACUAGUUUAGUACACAAUACUAAUUCUUCUUAGACUUUCCAUCACUAGAAGUCCAAUAUUAAUAAUUUUACCAUAAAAGGGGUGGUAAUCAGAAAAUAUUCUCACUUCUGAUGGACUACUUUAAAGUUGAAAUGGUGUUAUGUUUCCAUUAAUAGCCUGGAUCUCAUUAAGUCAUUAACACAUUCUAAAUUCAGUGACACAAAUUCGAAGUAAAGCAAAUGGGAAGGAGGAGGGAUCUUUAAGCUUUAAAAGAUCUCCCUGCUUUAAGCUGAAGUUAAAGCUGACCAUACCAAAGACAUAAAGCACUUUUUAGUGUGAAAUGACAUUUGUGGUUAUGUUUCUAUUUGAUGAGAAAUGUUAAGUUUGUGACAAUCAUCCAUCCUUACUGUGAAUUUUUUUUCAUUAAAAAUAUGUGUAUUACUCAAGUAUUUAUAGAUAAACUAAGAUGCUAUCAUGAAUUUGUUUCAAAAGAAUUCAACGGACAGUUGGAGGAGUAGGAAGUAUGGAUAAAAUGAGAUUGGCUGUGUUUGAUAAUUAUUGAAGCUGGUGUUGGGUAAACGGGGGUUCAUUAUUUUAUUCUAUUUUUAUGUAUAUUUGAUGUUUUCCACAGUACAAAGCUUUUUUCUCUCCAUUUUCUAUUUUUUACUUUAGCCAUAAUUAUACUUGUGUCUCUAAUUCAUAUUUUAAAAGUAAAAUACAAGAUAAUUAAGAUGGUAUGUAUCCAAUUAAAAUUAAAAUAAAUCUUAAAAUAAUGAGCCCUUUUUCAUAGCCAUUCCAUUAUUUGUCUUUUAAUCAUGAUAGUGUUCUUUAUGGAAAUCACAGAAAUUACUUUGAGUUCAUCAUUACAGAUUUAAUAAAGUUUAGAGAAUUUCUGUUUGUUAAUUCAUUUAACAAAUAUUGAGUACCUCCUUUGUACCAGAAACAGUGUGGGAGGGUUAUCUGCACUGAGUGAAAAUAUAUUUUUUCAUUCCCCUCCAACAGACAGUUGUCAAAUCUAUGCUGCAUUUUAGUUAUUUUCUUGUUUGUCAGCUCAAGGCAUACAGCAUCCCUUAUGAAAAUAUUGCUGAGUUUUGCUUUCUGCUAAGAAACUUACUAUUUUUAGAAAUAACAUGUUUUCUUAUUCUAAGUAUUUUUUAAUUUAUUGAUUUCUAUAAAUAGCCCAUCAUCAAAGUGGGAUAGAUCAAUAAGAUAAAUUAAUUACUUUUUGGAACUGGCCUAGUAUCUAACAUCUGAAGAAGGUAAAAAUACUAAUUAUAGAAUGGUACAGUAAAAAAGAAUACAACCUUGUGAGAGACCAUUGUCAGGUCUGGAAUUUUAUUUUACUCUACUUACAAACUAUUACGUCAGCCUGUUAUGAUUUCAUAUGAAGACAUAGACUCUUGGAUCAGAAACACAGGAGUUUAUUAAGCAUAACACAGCAAGCUUCCUGCUGUGAGGUUCUUCCUGCUCAAGUCCCAUGAGCAUGACUCAAUGUGUUCAGAUAUUUGGGACACACAGUGGGUUUGCAUCACAGCUAAGGAACACUGAACUUGGGGAAUCCACUGCUUUUAUAGAAAACAAUAAGCAAGCCCAUUCUCUUUUCAAUCUGGGGGAAUAUGCUUACCUCAUCUCUCAGAAGAGAUUAAAAAUAUUCAGUGUAUCCCAGACAAGGAACUGGGCUAGAGGACGUCUAUAGUCAUUCCCAACUCUGAUGUGCUGAGCAGUAAGCUGUGUUCUGCAACUGUGUUUUUCUGUUGCGCAUUAGACAUGAAUUAGACAUGAGAAUCUCUAAGUCAAUCAUUCAAUAACAGUUGUUGCUUUUUUUUUUUUGAGACAGGAUCCUGCUCUGUA